CAGUAGCCGCGGGAAUACAGAGGGUGCGAGCGUUAAUCGGAUUUACUGGGCGUAAAGCGUGCGUAGGCGGCUUUUUAAGUCGGAUGUGAAAUCCCUGAGCUUAACUUAGGAAUUGCAUUCGAUACUGGGAAGCUAGAGUAUGGGAGAGGAUGGUAGAAUUCCAGGUGUAGCGGUGAAAUGCGUAGAGAUCUGGAGGAAUACCGAUGGCGAAGGCAGCCAUCUGGCCUAAUACUGACGCUGAGGUACGAAAGCAUGGGGAGCAAACAGGAUUAGAUACCCGAGUAGUCCCUGUCUCUUAUAA
rnacentral:rRNA from 1 species